rnacentral:siRNA from 1 species
CAAGGUUGAUGAGUCGGUUUCUC